rnacentral:lncRNA from 1 species
AUAACGAUAUUUUUUCAACAUCUUCUCUCUUUUUAAACCGUGGGAACACUUUUGAAAUUACUAUCACACAGUAUUUAAGUAGCACCUGUAUUAAGCAAGCACGAGCGGUUAUAUUAACUAACAAAGAACUCUUAGUAAAAAAAAAGAUAACUUGGUAUGCAUCAGGCUGAAGAACAUGUUACAUGUGUGUGUGUGUGUUUCAUCUUGAAAAAACCUUUCGCAAGAUAUUUUGUAUAAAAAAGUCGUUAAGACUAAAUGUACAGAAAGAACAUUAGGACUUAGUGAACACUGAGUUGUGAAUGAAUGAAUCAAUUCGGUACCCGCACAACGUACAUAUUUGUUGCAGGACCUUCAAAUAUAUGUACGUACAAGUGAACCUCAAACACCUUCUAUUUCAACCAUGAUGACCUCCUUGAACUAUAAAAAUAUAUAAUGGAAAAAGGGAAGCCAUCCUACUAGAAGUAAUGUGAUUGUAUCGUCAACGAACAUCGCUUUUACGUGAAAAAUAAAUUAGUCAUGGAUUUUUAAUGCAUUAAAAAUGAAAAAUCCCUAGCUUUAAGACCAUAAUUCCUCCUUAAUCUUCACAAAAAAAAUCAUUUUGUUAGCUUUGCCUAAAUAUAUACAUUAGUGUUAGGUUUCGGUUUGAAAAUCCUAGGCCAGUAUAUGACGUUAUAAUUUUUGGUGAACCUAACUAAUUCCGUCCUAUAAAAGAAGUUUGGUACACAUAGAUCAGCCCCAAGGAAAAAUUUAUGCUGGAUGGGUUUUAGUAGUACAGUAUAAAAAAAUCACAUAAAUCAAACCGAAAAAAGAAAUCGGAUUUGUACCAAGUCUCAGCACUAACACAUAAAUACGUUUAUAGAAUGUGGAUUAACUUCUUUUUGCAUACUUAUAGAUAUUUAUUUUUUAAUAUCCAAUUAAAGCUUAAGCAGUACUUCAAGUAUGAAAAAAAAGGUUCAAAUUAAGGGGGACCGGCACUGUUCUUCUGGAACAUCAAAAAAGCUACAGCCAUAAAAUUUAUAUCACACUGAUAUAAUAUAAUGAAAAGUAUUAGAGGAAAAUCUCAAUAACUUUUGUCGACUUUUCUUUCAGAUAUUGGAUAAAAACUGUUUCUUUUGAGAGGUAAAAUUAGUCAUUUUUUACUUCAAUUAUUUAUGUAAUAAUCCAGUCACUUCUUCAUUGUGUUUCCUGCAAAUGAUAUCAUUUGAAUCAAUGAUUCUUUUGCUAUUUAAUUCUAUCAAAAUUCAAAACUCACUGAAGUGAAUAUAAAUUUGAGAUAUUGUAACAAGGCAACAAGUCCUGCAAUUUUUGAAUUGUUGUUUAUUCUUCUCGAUUAUCUAUAUUAAUGGAGCAAUCAAUGGUUGCCCUUCUGCCUGUAUGAAUAUAAGAAAACGAGCCACGGGUGCACUGUAUAUUAUGAAUGAUCCAUGAUGUAAAUCAUUUUAACAUAUUUUGAUUUAAGAAAUAAGAAUGUAGUCCUAUUAUUGAAAUAUUGCAGGCGUGUGCAUAUAGAAGCGAAUGUCUAUACGGGGUGCACUGUAUAAGAUGCUCUGUUAUGUAAAUUUUAUAUACUUUUGAUAUAAGAAAUAAACAUGUAGUCUUAUUUUUGAAA